rnacentral:rRNA from 1 species
UACGUAGGGGUCGAGCGUUGUCCGGAGUUACUGGGCGUAAAGCGCGCGCAGGUGGCUCGUUGCGCCCGGCGUGAAAGCCCCCGGCUUAACCGGGGAAGGUCGUCGGGGACGGGCGAGCUUGAGGGCGGCAGGGGCCGGUGGAACUCCCGGUGUAGUGGUGAAAUGCGUAGAGAUCUGGAAGAACACCAAAGGCGAAGGCAGCAUCCUGGGAAGUUCCUGACGCUCGGGUGCGAAAGCCAGGGGAGCGAACGGG